CAGUCGCCGCGGUAAUACAGAGGGUGCGAGCGUUAAUCGGAAUUACUGGGCGUAAAGCGUGCGCAGGCGGUUAUAUAAGACAGAUGUGAAAUCCCCGGGCUCAACCUGGGAACUGCAUUUGUGACUGUAUAGCUAGAGUACGGCAGAGGGGGAUGGAAUUCCGCGUGUAGCAGUGAAAUGCGUAGAUAUGCGGAGGAACACCGAUGGCGAAGGCAAUCCCCUGGGCCUGUACUGACGCUCAUGCACGAAAGCGUGGGGAGCAAACAGGAUUAGAUACCCGCGUAGUCCCUGUCUCUUAUAA
rnacentral:rRNA from 1 species